CCUCCAGAUGUUGUUGGUCUCCAACUCCCAUCAGCCUCAGCUAACAGGGCCAUUGAACAGGGAUGAUGGGAGUUGGAGUCCAACAACAUCUGGAGG